rnacentral:rRNA from 1 species
GAUGAACGCUGGCGGCGUGCCUAAUACAUGCAAGUCGAGCGAACAGAUGAGGAGCUUGCUCCUCUGACGUUAGCGGCGGACGGGUGAGUAACACGUGGAUAACCUACCUAUAAGACUGGGAUAACUUCGGGAAACCGGAGCUAAUACCGGAUAAUAUAUUGAACCGCAUGGUUCAAUAGUGAAAGACGGUUUUGCUGUCACUUAUAGAUGGAUCCGCGCCGCAUUAGCUAGUUGGUAAGGUAACGGCUUACCAAGGCGACGAUGCGUAGCCGACCUGAGAGGGUGAUCGGCCACACUGGCACUGAGACACGGUCCAGACUCCUACGGGAGGCAGCAGUAGGGAAUCUUCCGCAAUGGGCGAAAGCCUGACGGAGCAACGCCGCGUGAGUGAUGAAGGUCUUCGGAUCGUAAAACUCUGUUAUUAGGGAAGAACAAAUGUGUAAGUAACUAUGCACGUCUUGACGGUACCUAAUCAGAAAGCCACGGCUAACUACGUG